UACAGAGGUCCCAAGCGUUGUUCGGAUUCACUGGGCGUAAAGGGUGCGUAGGCGGUCGGGUAAGUCUGAUGUGAAAUCUCACAGCUUAACUGUGAAACUGCAUUGGAUACUAUUCGGCUUGAGAGUUGGAGGGGGGACUGGAAUUCUUGGUGUAGCAGUGAAAUGCGUAGAUAUCAAGAGGAACACCAGUGGCGAAGGCGAGCCCCUGGACAACUUCUGACGCUGAGGCACGAAAGCUAGGGGAGCAAACAGG
rnacentral:rRNA from 1 species